rnacentral:SRP_RNA from 1 species
ACCGACCCCCCGUGCGGUGUCACCUCGCUCAACCCCCCCAGGGCCGGAAGGCAGCAAGGGUAGGCGNGCUCUGUCAGGUGCGCGGGGGGUCCCUUNG